GACGAACGCUGGCGGCGUGCUUAACACAUGCAAGUCACGGGGGCCCGCAAGGGUAACCGGCGAACGGGUGCGUAACACGUGAACAAUCUGCCUAGAUGUGGGGGAUAGCCGGCCCAACGGCCGGGUAAUACCGCAUACGCUCUUCGGGUGGCAUCACUUGAAGAGGAAACCUCCGGGGCAUCUAGAGGAGUUCGCGGCCUAUCAGCUAGUUGGUGGGGUAACGGCCUACCAAGGCAAUGACGGGUAGCUGGUCUGAGAGGAUGGCCAGCCACAUUGGGACGGAGAUACGGCCCAGACUCCUACGGGAGGCAGCAGUGGGGAAUAUUGCGCAAUGGCCGAAAGGCUGACGCAGCGACGCCGCGUGGGGGAUGAAGCAUUUCGGUGUGUAAACCCCUGUUGCUCGGGACGAACAAGCGAUUUCGAUCGCUCUGACGGUACCGGGUGAGGAAGCACCGGCUAGCUCCGUGCCAGCCGCCGCCGUAA
rnacentral:rRNA from 1 species